GCAUGGGAUAGCCUUUUUAAAUGGUUUAUUAAGCAAUUCUAUUUUACCAAGACUAUCGUAACCAUGCAAAAAAAGCAACGGCAAAUCCGUUGCUUUUUUUGGAG
rfam:Streptococcus pneumoniae 2070335 gspj15.contig.4, whole genome shotgun sequence.